CCUACGGGCGGCAGCAGUAGGGAAUCUUCCACAAUGGGCGAAAGUCUGAUGGAGCAACGCCGCGUGGGUGAAGAAGGUCUUCGGAUCGUAAAACCCUGUUGUUAGAGAAGAAAGUGCGUGAGAGUAACUGUUCACGUUUCGACGGUAUCUAACCAGAAAGCCACGGCUAACUACGUGACAGCAGCCGCGGUAAUACGUAGGUGGCAAGCGUUAUCCGGAUUUAGUGGGCGUAAAGGGAACGCGGGCGGUCUGUUAAGUCUGAUGUGAAAGCCGUCGGCUUAACCGGAGUAGUGCAUUGGAAACUGGGAGACUUGAGUGCAGAAGAGGAGAGUGGAACUCCAGGUGUAGCGGUGAAAUGCGUAGAUAUAUGGAAGAACACCAGUGGCGAAAGCGGCUCUCUGGUCUGUAACUGACGCUGAGGUUCGAAAGCGUGGGUAGCAAACAGGAUUAGAUACCCUUGUAGUC
rnacentral:rRNA from 1 species